rnacentral:rRNA from 1 species
GAUGAACGCUGGCGGCGUGCCUAAUACAUGCAAGUCGAGCGAACAGAUGAGGAGCUUGCUCCUCUGACGUUAGCGGCGGACGGGUGAGUAACACGUGGAUAACCUACCUAUAAGACUGGGAUAACUUCGGGAAACCGGAGCUAAUACCGGAUAAUAUAUUGAACCGCAUGGUUCAAUAGUGAAAGACGGUUUUGCUGUCCCUUAUAGAUGGAUCCGCGCCGCAUUAGCUAGUUGGUAAGGUAACGGCUUACCAAGGCUACGAUGCGUAGCCGACCUGUGAGGGUGGUCGGCCCCAACUGAACUGAGGCACGGUCCCGGCUCCUAAGGGGAGGCGCAGGAGGGAAUCUUUCGCAAUGGGGGGAAGCCUUAAGGAACAACGCCGGGGUGGGUAAGGAGGGUCUCCGGUCGUAAAACCCUUUUAUUAGGGAAGAACAAAUGUGUAAGUAACUAUGCACGUCUUGACGGUACCUAAUCAGAAAGCCACGGCUAACUACGUG